GCCCAGGCCGCCGCCCGGCAGGCUGUCGGGCGUCAUGAUGCCCGCGCCCAUCCAGGACCUGGAGGCUCUCCGCGCGCUGACGGCGCUCUUCAAAGAGCAGCGGAAUCGAACGGGCGUGAGGCCGGGCACAGGAAGGGGGACCGAUCCAAGCGAGCCCUUCGCCGCCUCCUGCCUGUUGGGUUAGUUGAGCUGAGCCGCGGUGAUGGCGCCCGGGUAACGUGCAAGGUGGUCUCCUCGGCCUGGUUGGAACAGACUGGCAAGCCCCCAGAGGCAGUAGAACGUGCAGGAGGGUGAGACAGACGUUGCAGAUGUGCAAGGUGCGAGGCCGCGUCACUCCGUUCGUCCUGUGAGCCCAGGCUUUGCAUCCCCAGUGGUGGCCCCGCUUUGCACCGUGGCCACUUCAUUCCCGACUCUGCCACAGAAGGGCCAGAUCUCCGUUGUAUAAGGUGCCCAGGAGUCUGAAGAUCUGGAUUUGGCUCCUAGCCCUACAAGCGGUGCGUUAUGGUGCCAUUUCUCCAAGCCUUAAGAUUUCCUGCCUAAAAAUGGGAAUGUAAUACACGACUUCAUUGCUAAAUUGUACAGAGGAAUAAAUGAAAUAAAGCACUUGAAAAUACAAAGUACCUGA